rnacentral:misc_RNA from 1 species
UAUUGCAUGUUUUUUUAAAGGGGAGCCUCUAGAUCAUGUUGAGAGAAUAUUAGAAGGUUGUGGUUUCUUUCCAGGUAUAGCAAUAAGUCGUCUAAUUGAUAAAUCCCUGAUAAAUGUUUCAGAUGGUAAGGUAGGUAUGCAUGACUUGCUACAACAGAUGGGCAAGGAAAUUGUUUACGAGGAAUCCAAACAGCCUAGAGGACGGAGUAGGUUGUGGAAUUACAAGGAUAUUUGUCAUGUAUUGACAACAGAUAGGGGAACUGCAAAUGUUGAAGGCAUAUUACUUGACAUGUCUGGGAAUGGAUAUUUGGAGCUAAGUUCCACAGCUUUCAUGAAAUUGUGCAAUCUUAGAUUCCUAAAAUUCUUCAAUGUUACUCAAUCCACACAAGGACAAGUGUUGCUUCCUAGUGGCCUUGAAUUUCUUCCAGAAGAGCUAAGAUAUCAUCACUGGGAAAGAUACCCUUUGACAUUCUUGCCAUUAAAUUUUUGCCCAAAAAAUCUUGUAGAACUUCACAUGCCAAGGAGCAACCUCAUCCAACUUUGGAAUCAAGAGAAGGCUCUUGGAAAUUUGAAAUUUUUGGACCUCAGCUACUCUUUGGAGCUGACCAAAGUUCCAGACUUGUCUAGUGCUCCAAAUCUUGAGUUUUUAUGUUUGAGAGGAUGUGGAAACUUGAUUGAGAUUCCUAGUAGCAUUGGCAAGUCGAAAUGUCUAAAAGAAGUUACUCUCCAUAGAUGCUCAAAAUUGGAUAGUCUUCCACAAAGCAUCUGCAAUUCUGAAAUCUCUUACACUCCUUGACAUCUCAGAUUGUUUUAAUAUCAGUGGAUUGCCAGAGAACAUAGGGAAUUUAGAAUUGCUGAAGGACCUUUAUAUAUCUGGAAGUGGAAUAAAAACUUUACCAUCCUCCAUCAAUCAGUUGGGAAAAUUGGAAGAUUUAAGAUGUAGAGGAUGUGAAGGUUUGACAUUGCCUUCUUUGACUGGUUUGUCACGUGUAAGGGCAAUUGAUUUAAAUGGCUCUGGUAUAUUAGAAAUCCCCCAGAGCCUUUGGUUUUUAAUGUCAGUGAAAGAGUUAUAUUUAGGUGGAAACAAUUUCGAGAGCAUACCUCCAAGCAUUAAACAACUAUCCAAGUUGAAGUGGCUUGGAUUAAAAGGUUGCAAGAGGCUUGCAUGUUUACCCGAGCUUCCAUGCUUAGAAGAUUUGGAUGCAUCAGAUUGCACGUCUCUGGAAUCUGCAUCAACUUCAUUUCUUUUCCUAGAACAUGAAGAUGAUGAUGAAGAAGAAGAAAAACAUCUUGAG